GCAUUGUUGAUUGCACGUGCAAAUGACUUGAUCAAGGCUGUCGGUGUCAGUAUUUAUCGGCGUCAGAUGUCUGCCUCUGCGUCUGCAUGAGUGUUUGAGUUAAUGGGAUUCUAUACUUUUUAAUAGUGUCAACGUUCUGCUCUUCCUGUGAGCGCCGGAAAUCUCUCGUCAGGUGAGCCCGCAGUCCCACCAUGCCACGGCUAAGGCGGCCCACGGCGGCCGACCGCCGACGGGCUGCAGCCCAGCCAGCAAUUUUACUCCCGGCCCAAGCAGGCUAAAGUGCGGCUAGCCCGAGAUUUUAGUCGGGCUAAAGUCGGCUAGGGCUUGGGCUAAAGUCGGCGUAUGACACAAAAACGCCGACUAAAGCCCAUGCUCCGCCGGAGGUAUGCCCGCUCUGCGAGCUCCGGACAGCCGUAGCUUAGCCCUAGUUGUGCGACGAUUGGCGGUAGCCCGAUGUAAGCCCGAGCAAAACGUGACUGGCGCAGAAAUGCGCAUGCGUGAACAGCCGAUCAAGUAUGGCUCAACUCCGGCUUUACUCCAGUUAGCCAAAGGAGACAACCAGCUUGAUCAGCCCGCGCUCCGCCCAAGUUGAGCCUGCUUUGAUUGCGCGGGCGGAUGUCGGGCUGAGCUGCAGCUGGGCACACUCGGGCAUAGCUGCGGCAUGCCCAAGCUCAGCCCAAGUAAAAAAUGCAUUGGUUUUGAUCGCAGUGGGCAAACCCAAGCUAAGCCCAAGCUGCCCGACGUUUGCCAUAGUUUAGCCCAAGCGAAUUGCUGGCUGGGAGAGCGUCAGCGACGAUACAGGGCGAGACGCGCUGAAGAGCGGCGUCAGGCUGAGCUGCUGCGUCUUCAGCAGCCGGGGGCAGCCGAAGAGCUGCUCCGGGCAGUUGAGGCGGAGCUCCUAGUCAAGCUCCAAAAAGACGAGGCCCGCCGGGAAAGUGACAGGCAGAGGCAGCAGCAGAGGCGGCAAAACGAAGAGUACCGUGAAAAAGAGCGACAACGGCAACAGGCAAGGCGGCAGAGCGAGGAAUACCGUGAAAGAGAGCGGCAGCGGCAGCGACGGAGGAGGGAAAACGAAGAGUAUCGGGAAAAAGAGAGACAGCGGCAGCUGCGGCGGUGGGCAGCUAAGAACUGUAUCGUAUUCGUGACUACAUUGAUUGGUGCCAAUGAGAGCGCUGAAACAAUGCUCGAGCCCAAGAACCUCGAGAUGUUAUACGCUAACAACGGUGAUAGUUCAGUCAUGAGUCAGUGACGUGAUGACAGUUAAUGCUUCAUGUAAAGGCAUCGAAUAAAAUGCGUCGAUCACCCUAAUCACCUACACCUUUUUGCGCCCAAUUUAGGCGGCAGUUCACACAUUUCAAUAAUAGUGCAGGCGAUUUCGACAGUACGGCGUAGUGCAUUUGCAUAUCGAAUCGGAGCACAAUAUUCGUCAUAGUGCAGCCAUUUCGUCAUAGUGCAGGUAAAAGUGGCUCAGGUUCAGAGAUGUUGGCGCACAUUAACUAUUCGUCAGAUCGCUUCAAUUUCGGGGUGCCGCAUGUAAUUUAGGCACUGUUUUGUAAGACCGGCGUUGCAUAAAUAAGCAACAACAAUUUGUUUUUGACAUUUCACCCUACCUGAGCCUCCAAUGACAAUCGAAGGCAGUCAGCAACGCAAAAAAAGUCACUGGGGCAUACGCACUGUUCUUGAUGCAAAACGUAGAGGGUAUUUUAUGUCUCAUCUGACUGCGUUAGCUUCAAUCAUAUAAGACAUAGUGCACUGUGCACAUAAUUCGUCGGGUGCUUUCAACUUCGGCGUGAGCAAUAUUUUUUUCGGUUUUGUUCAAUCAAAUUUGUCACGAUGCUGAAAGGCGAUAACAAAAAUCCAUAGCAUUUCUUAUCUUUUUGAACCAGCAACGAAGCUAUGCAGCCGAUUCAGAAGCCCUGAAUGCCACGUGACCGCCACUUGACCGUGACAUCGAGUUCUUAGAGCGAGACUAAUGUUAAGGUUAUUCCUGAGAGCUGAAGCUGCAUUUGAGCAGCUCAUUGACCAAGAUUCACGAUACUCUUGACACACAGAUAGGGGGCUUUCAAAAAUAUGUUCCCAAUCCAGCAGCGAAUUUAAUUUAAUAUGGCCUAAAUGCUCUGCUUUGCGGGACGCCGAAUAUCAUGCCACAUGACGAAACCCUGCGCUGUGACGAAAUUGAACCUACGGUCCACUGAAUUUGAACGCGCUAUCUUCUAAAUUGAUUACUCUGUUUUUGAAAUGUGUGCUUCAUUACUGAAUACCAUGCACUCUGCCGAACUAGCGGUGCACACGCCGAACUGUCGAAAUCGAUUGCACUAUUAUUGAACUGUGUGGCACUUUUUCUAUAUUUUGGCCGUAAAAAGGUGUAUUUAUACUUUGUCAGACUUAGUUGAGCAUUGCCGUAAUGCCGUGUGUCGAAAAUGAUGUAACGUGACGAAUUAUUUGCGCUAAGUCUAAUAUGUCUGCACCUAGGCCACUUUUAUUUGCACUAUGACGGAGUAGGGUGCACAUGCACAAUCACCAAUAUCGUGCCGCGAUUCAAUACAUGAACGAACUAUGCCGAA